UGGGGAAUUUUGGACAAUGGGCGAAAGCCUGAUCCAGCCAUUCCGCGUGCAGGAUGAAGGCCCUCGGGUUGUAAACUGCUUUUGUACAGAACGAAAAGGUUUCUACUAAUACUAGGAGCUCAUGACGGUACUGUAAGAAUAAGCACCGGCUAACUACGUGCCAGCAGCCGCGGUAAUACGUAGGGUGCAAGCGUUAAUCGGAAUUACUGGGCGUAAAGCGUGCGCAGGCGGUUAUAUAAGUCAGAUGUGAAAUCCCCGGGCUCAACCUGGGAACUGCAUUUGAGACUGUAUAGCUAGAGUACGGUAGAGGGGGAUGGAAUUCCGCGUGUAGCAGUGAAAUGCGUAGAUAUGCGGAGGAACACCGAUGGCGAAGGCAAUCCCCUGGACCUGUACUGACGCUCAUGCACGAAAGCGUGGGGAGCAAACA
rnacentral:rRNA from 1 species